UACGUAGGUGGCAAGCGUUGUCCGGAAUUAUUGGGCGUAAAGAGCGCGCAGGCGGUCGGAUUAGUCGCGUGUGAAAGCCCCCGGCUCAACUGGGGAGGGUCACGCGAUACUGUUCGACUCGAAGGCAGGAGAGGGAAGUGGAAUUCCCGGUGUAGUGGUGAAAUGCGUAGAUAUCGGGAGGAACACCAGUGGCGAAGGCGGCAUCCUGGACCGGUAUUGACGCUGAGGCACGAAAGCCAGGGGAGCAAACGGG
rnacentral:rRNA from 1 species